CUCAUAUUGAGUUGCAUGUUAUGAUGCUUAUGAUGCAGUUUUAUCCUAGAAGAAAAAGGGAAGAAAAAUCUGUCCACAUAUUUAUAAAAAAAUUUCAUAGUCAUUCUCCUCCAUCUGCUAGUUACAGGUGGAGCAUUUGGGGUGAAAUGUGGUAGCCUAGAGGGGGGCUUUGCUGCUUCAUAUGGGGAUGGAUAUAGACUUCAUUUGGGUGCUGCUGACAAAGGUCCUCUAUAUGGCAUGGGUUCUGGUUCUUGGGUUG